rnacentral:rRNA from 1 species
GACGAACGCUGGCGGCGUGCCUAAUACAUGCAAGUCGAGCGGAGUUUUUAAAAGCUUGCUUUUAAAAACUCAGCGGCGGACGGGUGAGUAACACGUGGGCAACCUGCCCUGUAGACUGGGAUAACUUCGGGAAACCGAAGCUAAUACCGGAUAAUCAUAGAAGUUGCAUAGCUUCUAUGUAAAAGUUGGGUUUACCUAACACUACAGGAUGGGCCCGCGUCGCAUUAGCUAGUUGGUAAGGUAACGGCUUACCAAGGCGACGAUGCGUAGCCGACCUGAGAGGGUGAUCGGCCACACUGGGACUGAGACACGGCCCAGACUCCUACGGGAGGCAGCAGUAGGGAAUCUUCCGCAAUGGACGAAAGUCUGACGGAGCAACGCCGCGUGAGCGAUGAAGGCCUUCGGGUCGUAAAGCUCUGUUGUUAGGGAAGAACAAGUGCUAUUCGAAUAGGGUGGCACCC